rnacentral:rRNA from 1 species
UACGUAGGGGGCAAGCGUUAUCCGGAAUCACUGGGCGUAAAGGGUGCGUAGGCGGUCGAUCAAGUCAGGAGUGAAAGGCAAUGGCUCAACCAUUGUAAGCUCUUGAAACUGAUUGACUUGAGUGCAGGAGAGGUAAGUGGAAUUCCUAGUGUAGCGGUGAAAUGCGUAGAUAUUAGGAGGAACACCAGUGGCGAAGGCGACUUACUGGACUGUAACUGACGCUGAGGCACGAAAGCGUGGGGAGCGAACA